ensembl:rRNA 5S_rRNA 5S ribosomal RNA
AAUGGUAGCUAUACACUCUUGUGCUUAUGAUCCUGUGAGAUUUCACAAGCUAAGUAGGAAUGGAUCAGGUUAGUACUUGGAUGGGAGACCUCUUUUAAAAACUGUACGUUCUUUG